rnacentral:rRNA from 1 species
UGGGGAAUAUUGGACAAUGGGCGAAAGCCUGAUCCAGCCAUGCCGCGUGUGUGAAGAAGGUCUUCGGAUUGUAAAGCACUUUAAGUUGGGAGGAAGGGCAGUAAGCGAAUACCUUGCUGUUUUGACGUUACCGACAGAAUAAGCACCGGCUAACUCUGUGCCAGCAGCCGCGGUAAUACAGAGGGUGCAAGCGUUAAUCGGAAUUACUGGGCGUAAAGCGCGCGUAGGUGGUUCGUUAAGUUGAAUGUGAAAGCCCCGGGCUCAACCUGUGAACGGCAUCCAAAACUGGCGGGCUAGAGUAGGGCAGAGGGGAGUGGAAUUUCCUGUGUAGCGGUGAAAUGCGUAGAUAUAGGAAGGAACACCAGUGGCGAAGGCGACCACCUGGGCUCAUACUGACACUGAGGUGCGAAAGCGUGGGGAGCAAACAAG